rnacentral:tRNA from 1 species
AAAAAGAUAAGCUAAACCCUCAAGCUAAUGGGUUCAUACCCCGUAAAUGAGAUUUAAUUCUCUCUUUUUA